CAACUGUUUCUGCAGUGUCUCUUUCUGUCGGUCCAAACCUUCAGCAGGUCUUCAGAGGAUCUUUAGUGGAUCUGAGUUGUGUUGAUGAUGGACAGACAGCUGAUGGAUGGACAGUGAAGAGGACCAGAGGAGGACUCACUGAGGACUGUGGAGCAGCUCCAGGCUUUGGGGGGCUUCUUGGUUCCUACUGUGUUGUGGAUCUUUCUGCUCCCAGUGAAACCUUCUGGUGUGAGGACUCCUCUAGACAGCAGAGUGACAACGUCUCCUUCAGUGUCCAAUCAGACACUACAGAUAAAGGUGUCAUCCUGGAGAUCCCUGCACUUCCUGUGAGGACAGGAAGUGAUGUCAUUCUGCGCUGCAGACAGAGGAAUGGUGCCACAGUC